rnacentral:rRNA from 1 species
CCUACGGGAGGCAGCAGUAGGGAAUAUUGCUCAAUGGGGGACACCCUGAAGCAGCCACGCCGCGUGGAGGAUGAAUGCUUUCUGAUUGUAAACUCCUUUUGUUAGAGAAAUUAAUCACGGUAUCUAUCGCAUAAGCACCGUCUAACUUCGUGCCAGAAGCCGCGGUAAUACGGAGGGUGCGAGCGUUACUCGGAAUCACUGGGCGUAAAGAGCGCGUAGGCGGGAUAGCAAGUCAGAUGUGAAAUCCUAUGGCUUAACCAUAGAACUGCAUUUGAAACUGUUAUUCUAGAGUAUGUUAGAGGUAGGUGGAAUUCUUGGUGUAGGGGUAAAAUCCGUAGAGAUCAAGAGGAAUACUCAUUGCGAAGGCGACCUGCUAGACCAUAACUGACGCUGAUGCGCGAAAGCGUGGGGAGCAAACAGGAUUAGAUACCCGGGUAGUC